AUUGAACGCUGGCGGCAGGCCUAACACAUGCAAGUCGAGCGAGAGGCGGACGGGUGAGUAAUGUAUGGGGAACUGCCCGAUGGAGGGGGCUAACUACUGGACACGGUGGCUAAUACCGCAUACUAUCGGCUGAGCCCAUAUGGGAUUAGCUAGUAGGUGGGGUAAAGGCUCACCUAGGAGACGAUCUCGAGCUGGUCUGAGAGGAUGAUCAGCCAAACUGGGACUGAGACACGGGCCAGACUCCUACGGGAGGCAGCAGUGGGGAAUAUUGCACAAUGGGCGAAAGCCUGAUGCAGCCAUGCCGCGUGUAUGAAGAAGGCCUUAGGGUUGUAAAGUACUUUCAGCGGGGAGGCGUUACCCGCAGAAGAAGCACCGGCUAACUCCGUGCCAGCAGCCGCGGUAAUAC
rnacentral:rRNA from 1 species